CUACGGGUUGCACCAGUGAGGAAUAUUGCACAAUGGGGGGAACCCUGAUGCAGCAACGCCGCGUGGAGGAUGACGCAUUUCGGUGUGUAAACUCCUUUUAUAUGUCAAGAAAAUGACGGUAGCAUAUGAAUAAGCACCGGCUAACUCCGUGCCAGCAGCCGCGGUAAUACGGAGGGUGCAGGCGUUACUCGGAAUCACUGGGCGUAUAGGACGCGUAGGCGGGUUGGAAAGUCAGGUGUGAAAUCCUACAGCUUAACUGUAGAACUGCACUUGAAACUUCUAAUCUAGAGUAUGGGAGGGGGAGAUGGAAUUAGUGGUGUAGGGGUAAAAUCCGUAGAUAUCACUAGGAAUACCUAAAGCGAAGGCGAUCUCCUGGAACAUUACUGACGCUAAGGCGUGAAAGCGUGGGGAGCAAACAGGAUUAGAUACCCGGGUAGUC
rnacentral:rRNA from 1 species